UUGCAAUAUUACGUGGGCUUCUAAUAAACCGGCCAGUAAACCGCAGGUAGCGCCUCGCAGAGAUGGGCCGUGCACCUGUCCACACAGGGCCUCCAGCUUCCCUGGCCCGGCCCUGGCGCGGCUGGCUGCCCGGCCUGCCCCUCGGGAUGCCGGCAGGGGUGUGACCUGGACAUGGGGGCCGCACCGACAGACGCGAGCCAACAGGCAAAGGCAGGGGGCACUGCCGCUGCCCACAGCGAGGCCAGGAGCCGGCCUGGCAGGUGAGCACAGGAGGAGGGGGCUGGAGGGGCUGAGGCUCAGGCUGAUUAAGAAGACCCGUUUAGGGGUGGAUGGACAGCGAGGGGUAGGCUUGGGCGGUCCCAGGGGUCCCCCCGCCAGCUGCCCCGGGCCUGCCCGAUUCUCCGCCCUUGGCCCACACCCUGGCUCUCGGCUGCUUACAGUCUGAAGGCCUUGGCUCCCUCUCAAGCCCUCUGGGCUCUCCCGCUAUGGGGCUCUUUCCCACCCGUCUCCUGGGACUAGGCCCCUGUGGGAGGAGAGAGGCAGGGGCCCCUCGUCCCCACCCUGUGCGGGUCUCAGAUUCCUGGGCCUUCGCUGGGCUCUCUGGCCCAGCAGUGUGGCCACCUGACCGCAGGGUGGUCUAGGGACCACGGCUGCAGGGAUGUGGAUGGCGCGCCUUCCUGUGGGGCCGCGUUCCUGAGGAGUGGUGCUGCGCUGGUGCCGCGGUCCGCGGGGGCAGAGGCCGCAUCCCCCAAGCGCGGCCGCCUGCCUGGCCACACCCAGGCCACGGGUGCUGGGGACCCUGGAGAGGACUGCCCUCUCCAAGCCCCACGCUGGCGCCGGGCACAAAACCUCCCAUGCCCUCCUCAGGCUCAGGAGCUCCAGCUCUCGACCCCGUGGUCACUCAGGUGACAGGAGUGCCAGGAACUGCUGGUCCCCAGUGAGGCUGCGCCUGUCCCCUCCCACUGCCGGGCCAGCAGGCCCUAGGCCCAGAGCCGAGCUGCAGCCCGAUCCACCCGGCGGCUGCAGCGGGCCGGGAACCCUGGCUCUGCCAAGGGCCACGCGGGCGUUCGCGUUGCUGGUGGACUGCACCGCGCUAUCUGCUUAAACACUGGCCUGCUACGGAUUCACUGGACGUCGAGUCCCGCCUGCGGUCCCCUUGGCAGGGCCAGGCCAAAUGGUAUCACGGUCUUGUGGAGGCUGCGGGCCAGACCUGCGCCGCCCUGUUCUAGAGUCUUCUCCCCACCCCUGCGGCCCGCUCCCCGCUCACGGCUGUGAGCUGCUGGGACCCAGAGGGGCAGGGGGCGGACUGAGCAGACUCCGCUUCCCCUGCCUUGCCUGUCACUCCUGUCAACACCCCGCCCAUGUCUGGGCUGUGUCCCCUGCCUCCCUGGGCUCAGGGUUAGAAGGGUCCCUCUGUGGCCACAGCACCUUGCGCCCGCCACACAGGGCCCCUCCCCACCACGGGGAGGGGUGAGGCUGAGUGGCUUCUGCGGAGCCUUGGUCUCGGCUUGCGCCCGCCUCUCUCCCCCAGCACUAGGGCACUGGGCUGGCACCAGGCGCACCGCUGGGCCGUGGCCCUCUGCCUGCGGUGCGCUUCCUCCCUGGAGUGGUGCAGCGCUCCUGUCCUUCAGGGCCUGGACAUGGCGGCGCUGUGCUGGGAAGCUCCCCGCCCGCGGAGCCACAGCACCCUCCUUGACCCGGAGGAGAUGACGCCUCCGUGACGGGCAGGCGUCCCCAGCAGCUCUGCAGGGCCGUGGCUCAGAGUUCCCCUGCAGCGUGGGCACCUGGACCCCCUCGUCGGGCUCCCCAGCAGGGAACACGGGAAGCCCAGCUGGUUUCCACGCCGAUCCCAGGAUGCGGAGCGCACGC